GGGGCUGUGGCUCAGUGGAAGAGUCUCUGCUUUGCAUGCGGAAGGUCCUAGGUUUGAUUCCCGCUGUUUCCA
rnacentral:tRNA from 1 species